rnacentral:rRNA from 1 species
GACGAACGCUGGCGGCGUGCUUAACACAUGCAAGUCGAACGGAAAGGCCCUGCUUUUGUGGGGUGCUCGAGUGGCGAACGGGUGAGUAACACGUGAGUAACCUGCCCUUGACUUUGGGAUAACUUCAGGAAACUGGGGCUAAUACCGGAUAGGAGCUCCUGCUGCAUGGUGGGGGUUGGAAAGUUUCGGCGGUUGGGGAUGGACUCGCGGCUUAUCAGCUUGUUGGUGGGGUAGUGGCUUACCAAGGCUUUGACGGGUAGCCGGCCUGAGAGGGUGACCGGCCACAUUGGGACUGAGAGACGGCCCAGACUCCUACGGGAGGCAGCAGUGGGGAAUAUUGCGCAAUGGGCGGAAGCCUGAUGCAGCAGCGCCGCGUGCGGGAUGACGGCCUUCGGGUUGUAAACCGCUUUCGCCUGUGACGAAGCGUGAGUGACGGUAAUGGGUAAAGAAGCACCGGCUAACUACGUG